GACGAACGCUGGCGGCGUGCCUAAUACAUGCAAGUUGAGCGCUGAAGGUUGGUACUUGUACCAACUGGAUGAGCAGCGAACGGGUGAGUAACGCGUGGGGAGUCUGCCUUUGAGCGGGGGACAACAUUUGGAAACGAAUGCUAAUACCGCAUAAAAACUUUAAACACAAGUUUUAAGUUUGAAAGAUGCAAUUGCAUCACUCAAAGAUGAUCCCGCGUUGCAUUAGCUAGUUGGUGAGGUAAAGGCUCACCAAGGCGAUGAUACAUAGCCGACCUGAGAGGGUGAUCGGCCACAUUGGGACUGAGACACGGCCCAAACUCCUACGGGAGGCAGCAGUAGGGAAUCUUCGGCAAUGGACGAAAGUCUGACCGAGCAACGCCGCGUGAGUGAAGAAGGUUUUCGGAUCGUAAAACUCUGUUGGUAGAGAAGAACGUUGGUGAGAGUGGAAAGCUCAUCAAGUGACGGUAACUACCCAGAAAGGGACGGCUAACUACGUG
rnacentral:rRNA from 1 species